rnacentral:rRNA from 1 species
AUAGCGUAUAUUAAAGUUGUUGCGGUUAAAAAGCUCGUAGUUGGAUCUGCGGCCGAGGAGAGCGGUCCCCCACUGGGCGGUUACUGCUUUUCCUGGCCUAAUCAUUCGGUUUACCUUUGGUGCUCUUCAUUGAGUGUCACUGGUGGCCGGAACGUUUACUUUGAAAAAAUUAGAGUGCUCAAAGCAGGCAUAUUGCCUGAAUAGUGGUGCAUGGAAUAAUGAAAUAGGAUAUUGGUUCUGUUUUAUUGGUUCGGAGCUAAUGUAAUGAUUGAAGGGGACAGACGGGGGCAUUCGUAUUGCGACGUUAGAGGUGAAAUUCUUGGAUCGUCGCAAGACGGACUACUG